UAUCCNCCUUGUGUGCAAUGUUUGUUGGGAGAGAGGCAACUCUUUCCCUUCACAAAUAUCAACCUAUAUCUUUAACAACAUUCGUCUGAUAACAUAUUAUGAAUAUACUUAAUUCAAAAUAUAACUUUCAACAACGGAUCUCUUAGCUCCCGCAUCGAUGAAGAACGCAGCGAAAUGCGAUAAGUAAUGUGAAUUGCAGAAUUCAGUGAAUCAUCGAAUCUUUGAACGCACCUUGCGCUCCUUGGUAUUCCGAGGAGCAUGCCUGUUUGAGUGUCAUUAAAUUCUCAACCUCUCUAGCUUUGCUAGUAAGAUGGCUUGGAUGUGGGGGUUAUUUUUGCAGGCUUUCACAAGUCAGCUCCCCUGAAAUGCAUUAGCCGGUACUCUCUGACCGUCUAUUGGUGUGAUAAUUAUCUACGCCGUGGACUGAAGAAAUUGUACUGCUUAUAAUCGUUCUGUAUAGAACAAUUCAUGACAUUUUGACCUCAAAUCAGGUAGGACUACCCGCUGAACUUAAGCAUAUCAAUAAGCGGAGGAA
rnacentral:rRNA from 1 species